AGUCGAGCGAACAGACGAGGAGCUUGCUCCUCUGACGUUAGCGGCGGACGGGUGAGUAACACGUGGAUAACCUACCUAUAAGACUGGGAUAACUUCGGGAAACCGGAGCUAAUACCGGAUAAUAUAUUGAACCGCAUGGUUCAAUAGUGAAAGACGGUUUUGCUGUCACUUAUAGAUGGAUCCGCGCCGCAUUAGCUAGUUGGUAAGGUAACAGCUUACCAAGGCAACGAUGCGUAGCCGACCUGAGAGGGUGAUCGGCCACACUGGAACUGAGACACGGUCCAGACUCCUACGGGAGGCAGCAGUAGGGAAUCUUCCGCAAUGGGCGAAAGCCUGACGGAGCAACGCCGCGUGAGUGAUGAAGGUCUUCGGAUCGUAAAACUCUGUUAUUAGGGAAGAACAAAUGUGUAAGUAACUAUGCACGUCUUGACGGUACCUAAUCAGAAAGCCACGGCUAACUACGUGCCAGCAGCCGCGGUAAUACGU
rnacentral:rRNA from 1 species